AAUUCAAGAUGUAAUGAAUAGUAACCCUCAACAAGUAGUGAUUGAUUCUGGGACAAACAAUUCCAACUAUAACGCAAAUUUUGCUACACAUCACAAUCCACAUAUCAGACCUGACCAGACUUUUAAAAGAGAGAAACCCUUUUCUUGUUCUGAAUGCGGAAAAUCUUUCAAUCGUAAAGCAAAACUUGCACAUCAUAAGAUGAUUCAUACAGGAGAAAAACCGUUUUGUUGUUUAGAAUGUGGGAAAUGUUUUACUCAAAUGUCAUCGCUAAAUUCUCAUCAAAGGGUUCACACAGGAGAGAAACCAUUUUCUUGUUCUGAGUGCGGAAAAUGUUUUACUGAAAAAUCACAACUUACAGUUCAUCUGAAGAUGCACACAGAAGAGAAACAGUUUUGUUGUUUAGAAUGUGGGAAAUGUUACAAACACUUGUCAUCUCUAAGUUUGCAUCGAAGGGGUCACACAGGAGAGAGACCAUAUUCUUGUUCUGAGUGCGGUAAAAGUUUUGUUCAAAAAUCACACCUUAUGCAUCAUCUGAAGAUUCACACAGGAGAGAGACCAUUUUCUUGUUCUGAGUGCAGAAAAUGUUUCAUUUGUAAAUCACACCUUACAGCUCAUCUGAAGAUUCACAAAGGAGCGAAGCAGUUUUCAUUUUCUGAGCAAGGGAUUAAAAUGAGUACAAAGGUCUCUCUUAAAAAGCAUUUGGCAUCAUACAAGAAAUAAACAAUUUUCCUUUCCUGUGCAGAGCUCAAUUGAAAAAAUAAUAAAAAAUGAAUCAAAAAAUGUAUUUACGGCCUCAGUGUGUGCACACUCUGUAAGUCAAUAGUAGGCAUUAUAUAUGCAUAAUAAUUAGUUAGAUCUCACCCAUAUAUAUAGUUGGGGUAGAGUUGGAGCACGGUCUGUGGAUAAUCCUUCUGUAGAUGCUGCAGUAUGCAAGGCUCCAGGGCCAAGGUUCCUGUAACAGUGGUUAAUGCCUGCUCCUACGGGCGAUAUAUGG